rnacentral:tRNA from 1 species
GCGGGAGUAGCUCAGCUUGGUAGAGCAUUACCUUGCCAAGGUAAGGGUCGCGGGUCCGAAUCCCGUCUCCCGCU